rnacentral:rRNA from 1 species
ACAUGCCUACAACAUAGUGUUAAUUCGUUGGAUCCCAUUACAAAUUCGCAGUUAAUCGUGCUCAAGCUAGAGUAGUACUGGGAUGGGUGAUCGCCCGGGAAGUACUAGUAUUUUACAUGCU